rnacentral:tRNA from 1 species
UGGGAUGAUGCUCAGUGGUAGAGCACAUGGUUAAGAUGCAUGAGAACCUGGGUUCAAUCCCUAGCACCAA